AUAAAAUUAAGGAAGAGUAAAAUGUGCCUCCCACAUGCACAUGUGAGGGACAGGAUUUUUCCAUGUGUAUCAAGUUCAUCCAAGAACUACAAUGAAAGGAAUGUAACUUCCUGUUAAUAAGGCCAGAAACUUUUGACAGGGAGCCUUUAUAAAUAAUCCAGUGCAGAGACUCCUACCUUCAGUUUGCGUGGGUACAUCUGUGUACCAAGAGGGCGCAUAACAAUGAGGAGACAUUUCUUCUCAGAAAGAGUGAUCAGGCAUUGGAAUAGGUUGCCCAAGGAAGUGGUGGAGUCACCGUCCCUGGGGGCGUUCAAAGGAAAGGUUGGACCUGGUGCUUAGGAACGUGGUUUAGUGGGUGACAUUGGCAGUGGGGUGAUGGUUGGACCAGAUCAUAUUGAAGGUCUUUUCCAACCUUAAUUUUUCUAUGAUUCUAUGCAGAAGGAAGAGGAUUCCUGGCCUGUCCUCACCCCAGGCUAGGGGCCCAGCCAGCGUAGGGUCUCCCACCUGGCCAGCAGCAAGGCCUGUGUGGAGGUGGUUGCCAUCUUGGCCCAGCCCAUGCCUAUAAGCAAUCAGCCACAGUCCAGGCAGCUGAUUGCUUACCAAUCAACCACCAGGUGCAGGUCUCAGGUCUCAGACCCUGAUCUAGAACCUUCUUUGCACACCCUUUCAGAGGAACUUGGGUACUGUUAGUGGUGGACGUGCCCCAGCUGUAGUGAAAGCUACUUCCACAGCUGAAGUGGUCACUGAAAUGGCAGAAAAGCAACCUGAGAGAAGGCUGUCUGGUGUUUGCUCUGUUUUAAGUGGGAAAAAGUGGAUUGAUCUCCAGAGGAAACAUGAAGAACCAAACAUCCAAUUGCAUGUUUGCAGGGGCCCAGCAAAGUCCAAAAUCAUAGAGAACUGGAAAAAUGUGUAUAAUGAUUGGAGCUACCCUGCUAGGACGGCUUCAGUGUGUACAGACUCCAGCCUUCAUAGCCAACUCCACUUGGUUACUGCUGAAGAAUCUGGCCCUACCAACACUCUGUUACUUGCAGCAGGAAAGAAAAUAUCCUGAAAGGUGCCCCAGGAUAAGGGAAUGGGAGAGUAAGUGUAAAUAAAGCAGGAGGCUGGGCAGACCA
rnacentral:lncRNA from 1 species